UGGGGAAUCUUGGACAAUGGGCGCAAGCCUGAUCCAGCCAUGCCGCGUGAGUGAAGAAGGCCUCGGGUUGUAAAGCUCUUUUACCAGGGACGAUAAUGACGGUACCUGGAGAAUAAGCCCCGGCAAACUUCGUGCCAGCAGCCGCGGUAAUACGAAGGGGGCUAGCGUUGUUCGGAAUUACUGGGCGUAAAGCGCACGUAGGCGGAUUGUUAAGUCAGAGGUGAAAUCCCGGAGCUCAACUUCGGGACUGCCUUUGAUACUGGCAAUCUCGAGUCCGGAAGAGGUUAGUGGAAUUCCCAGUGUAGAGGUGAAAUUCGUAGAUAUUGGGAAGAACACCGGUUGCGAAGGCGGCUACCUGGCCCGGUACUGACGCUGAAGUGCGAAAGCGUGGGGAGCAAACAGGAUUAGAUACCCUCGUAGUCCCUGAGCGGGCUGGCAAGGCGCAU
rnacentral:rRNA from 1 species